CCAAUAGCGUAUAUUAAAGUUGUUGCAGUUAAAAAGCUCGUAGUUGAAUUUCGGGAUUAGUACGCUGGUCGUGCCUUCGGUACGUACUGGUGUUACUGAUUUCUACCUUCUGACGAACCAUCAUGUCAUUAAUUUGGUGUGGUGGGGAAUCAGGACUGUUACUUUGAAAAAAUUAGAGUGUUUAAAGCAGGCUCGCGCUUGAAUACAUUAGCAUGGAAUAAUGAAAUAGGACGUUGAUCCUAUUUUGUUGGUUUCUAGGAUUGACGUAAUGAUUAAUAGGGAUAGUUGGGGGCAUUAGUAUUCAAUUGUCAGAGGUGAAAUUCUUGGAUUUAUUGAAGACUAACUACUGCGAAAGCAUUUGCCAAGGAUGUUUUCAUUAAUCAAGAACGAAAGUUAGGGGAUCGAAGACGAUCAGAUACCGUCGUAGUCUUAACCAUAAACUAUGCCGACUAGGGAUCGGAUGAUGUUAUUUUUAAUGACUCAUUCGGCGCCUUACG
rnacentral:rRNA from 1 species